rnacentral:rRNA from 1 species
CGCGCCGAAAAUGUACCGGGGCUAAACGUAUCACCGAAGCUGUGGAUUGACAUCUUCCGAUGUCAGUGGUAGGAGAGCGUUCUAAGGGCGUUGAAGCGAGACCGCAAGGACUGGUGGAGCGCUUAGAAGUGAGAAUGCCGGUAUGAGUAGCGAAAGAUGGGUGAGAAUCCCAUCCACCGAAUGCCUAAGGUUUCCUGAGGAAGGCUCGUCCGCUCAGGGUUAGUCGGGACCUAAGCCGAGGCUGAAAAGCGUAGGCGAUGGACAACAGGUUGAUAUUCCUGUACCACCUCUUUACCGUUUGAGCAAUGGGGGGACGCAGGAGGAUAGGGUAAGCGCGCUGCUGGAUUAGCGCGUCCAAGCAGUUAGGCCGGUAACGAGGCAAAUCCCGUUACCACACAGGCUGAGCUGUGACGGCGAGGGAAAUUUAGUACCGAAGUUCCUGAUUCCACACUGCCAAGAAAAGCCUCUAGCGAGGGAAAAGGUGCCCGUACCGCAAACCGACACAGGUAGGCGAGGAGAGAAUCCUAAGGUGAGCGAGAGAACUCUCGUUAAGGAACUCGGCAAAAUGACCCCGUAACUUCGGGAGAAGGGGUGCUUUUUAGGGUGAAUAGCCCGGAA